GAAUGAAUUUGAUUUAGUUUAGUGGCGGACGGGUGAGUAACGCGUGAGUAACCUGCCUUCAAGAGGGGGAUAACAUUCUGAAAAGAAUGCUAAUACCGCAUGAUAUAUCGGAACCACAUGGUUCUGAUAUCAAAGAUUUUAUCGCUUGAAGAUGGACUCGCGUCCGAUUAGUUAGUUGGUGAGGUAACGGCUCACCAAGACCGCGAUCGGUAGCCGGACUGAGAGGUUGAACGGCCACAUUGGGACUGAGACACGGCCCAGACUCCUACGGGAGGCAGCAGUGGGGGAUAUUGCGCAAUGGGGGCAACCCUGACGCAGCAACGCCGCGUGAAGGAUGAAGGUUUUCGGAUUGUAAACUUCUUUUAUUAAGGACGAAACUUGACGGUACUUAAUGAAUAAGCUCCGGCUAACUACGUGCCAGCAGCCGCGGUAAUACGUAGGGAGCAAGCGUUGUCCGGAUUUACUGGGUGUAAAGGGUGCGUAGGCGGCUUUGCAAGUCAGAUGUGAAAUCUAUGGGCUCAACCCAUAAACUGCAUUUGAAACUGUAGAGCUUGAGCGAAGUAGAGGCAGGCGGAAUUCCCCGUGUAGCGGUGAAAUGCGUAGAGAUGGGGAGGAACACCAGUGGCGAAGGCGGCCUGCUGGGCUUUAACUGACGCUGAGGCACGA
rnacentral:rRNA from 1 species